AUAUAACAUAUAUAUAGGUGAUCAUAGGUUGGGACACAAACAUAAAAUGAUGUAAUGAUUAAGGACACCCAUCAGAUGACGCAAAACAAUGGCUAGACAAUUUUGAGGCAUGGAUUGUGUUUAACGGAUGGUUAGAAAAUGUAGACAAAGCUGUCAGUGCAAUGCAACUAAAACUUGAUGGAAAUGUACUCUCCUGGUUUCAGACUCUACCGAACAUUACAAAGCAAAGUAGUAGUACAUUGUUCAAGGGAUUUGUAAGCCAUUUUUCAUCUCUUCAUCCGACGUAAACGUGUUGCUUAGUCUUUAGUUUUCUAUGUUAUGUCAUCUGUACUACUAUUUGUCUGUUUGUCUUUUUAUUUUUGGCCAUGGCGUUGUCAGGUUGUUUUCGAUCUAUGAGUUUGACUGUCCCUCUGGUAUCUUUCGUCCCUCUUUUAUCAAAAUACUCUAAAACCAUAAAGCAAUGUUUAAUCUAAACUAACAGAUGUUAAUAGCGCGAUCUUGUGAGAACCUUUAUAUUGGUCAGUUGUUUUAUAGAUGAAAAUUUUAAUUGUGAACCUUUAUAUAUAUUAUAUAUGUACUGUUAUAUGAAUUUCUACUAACAUUAAACAUGUGAACAUUAAA